AUACUUACCUGGCAGGGGAGAUACCAUGAUCACGAAGGUGGUUUUCCCAGGGCGAGGCUUAUCCAUUGCACUCCGGAUGUGCUGACCCCUGCGAUUUCCCCAAAUGUGGGAAACUCGAAUGCAUAAUUUGUGGUAGUGGGGGACUGCGUUCAUGCUUUCA
rnacentral:snRNA from 1 species